AGAGUUUGAUCCUGGCUCAGAGUGAACGCUGGCGGCGUGCUUAACACAUGCAAGUCGAGCGAAUUCUGACAGCACACCGUCAGAGUUAGCGGCAGACGGGUGAGUAAUACUUGGGCAAUCUGCCCUCGAGAGGGAGACAACCUGCCGAAAGGCGGGCUAAUACCCCAUAAGACCACAGGGUUGCAUAACCUAGGGGUCAAAGCUCCGCAAGGGGCGCUUGAGGAGGAGCCCGAGUCCUAUCAUGGUAGUUGGUGAGGUAACGGCUCACCAAGCCUUUGACGGGUAGCCGGCCUGAAAGGGUGAACGGCCACACUGGCACUGAGACACGGGCCAGACUCCUACGGGAGGCAGCAGUGGGGAAUUUUGGACAAUGGGGGCAACCCUGAUCCAGCGACGCCGCGUGGGGGACGAAGGUCUUCGGAUUGUAAA
rnacentral:rRNA from 1 species